GACGAACGCUGGCGGCGUGCUUAACACAUGCAAGUCGUGCGAUUUGGUGGUGGGUUGUUAGUGGUUAGUGGUUGGGAAAAUGGAGAAAUUGUGGUUAGUCGUUAAAAAGACUAAAAAGCAAUGCCCGAACCCCAACGACCAAUCACCAACAACUCACUACCAAGUAGCGGCGGACGGGUGAGUAACACGUGGAUAACCUACCCGUUAGACCAGGAUAACACCGGGAAACUGGUGCUAAUACCGGAUGAGCUCUUCAGAGCACAAGCUUACGAAGAGGAAAGGGGAAACCCGCUAACGGAUGGGUCCGCGUCCUAUUAGCUAGUUGGUAGGGUAACGGCCUACCAAGGCGACGAUGGGUAGCCGGCCUGAGAGGGUGACCGGCCACACUGGGACUGAGACACGGCCCAGACUCCUACGGGAGGCAGCAGUGGGGAAUAUUCCGCAAUGGGGGAAACCCUGACGGAGCAAUGCCGCGUGAGUGAAGAAGGCCUUUGGGUCGUAAAACUCUGUCUUGAGGGACGAAAAAAAUGACGGUACCUCAAAAGAAAGCCCCGGCUAACUACGUGCCAGCAGCCGCGGUAAAACGUAGGGGGCGAGCGUUGUCCGGAAUUACUGGGCGUAAAGGGCGUGCAGGCGGCCUGUGUAGUCAAGCGGUGAAAACCCGGGGCUUAACUUCGGGAUGGCCCUUGAAACCAACAGGCUUGAGGACAGGAGAGGGGAGUGGAAUUUCCGGUGUAGCGGUGAAAUGCGUAGAUACCGGAAGGAACACCAGUGGCGAAGGCGGCUCCCUGGACUGGUCCUGACGCUGAGGCGCGAAAGCGUGGGGAGCAAACAGGAUUAGAUACCCUGGUAGUCCACGCCGUAAACGAUGGGUGCUAGGUGUUGGGGGUAUCGACCCCUCCAGUGCCGCAGUUAACGCAAUAAGCACCCCGCCUGGGGAGUACGACCGCAAGGUUGAAACUCAAAGGAAUUGACGGGGGCCCGCACAAGCGGUGGAGCAUGUGGUUUAAUUCGACGUAACGCGAAGAACCUUACCAGGGCUUGACAUCUUCUGACCGCUUAAGGAAACUUAAGCUUUCCGGGGAGUUUACUUUCCGGACAGAAAGACAGGUGGUGCAUGGUUGUCGUCAGCUCGUGUCGUGAGAUGUUGGGUUAAGUCCCGCAACGAGCGCAACCCCUACGGUUAGUUGCUAACGGGUAAGGCCGGGCACUUUAGCCGAACUGCCGUUGACAAAACGGAGGAAGGCGGGGAUGACGUCAAAUCAUCAUGCCCUUUAUGUCCUGGGCUACACACGUGCUACAAUGGCCUGUACAAAGGGCGGCAAAGGGGCAACCCGGAGCAAAUCCCAAAAAACAGGUCUCAGUUCGGAUUGCAGGCUGCAACUCGCCUGCAUGAAGGCGGAAUCGCUAGUAAUCGCAGGUCAGCAUACUGCGGUGAAUACGUUCCCGGGCCUUGUACACACCGCCCGUCACACCACGAAAGUCAGCAACACCCAAAGCCGGUGACUUAACCGCCAUAGCGCGGGGAGAGCCGUCUAAGGUGGGGUUGGUAAUUGGGGUG
rnacentral:rRNA from 1 species